rnacentral:rRNA from 2 species
GGAUGCGAUCAUAGCAGCACUAAAGCACCGGAUCCCAUCAGAACUCCGAAGUUAAGCGUGCUUGGGUGAGAGAAGUACUAGGAUGGGUGACCUCGUGUUGCAUUCC